GAUGAACGCUGGCGGCGUGCCUAAUACAUGCAAGUCGAGCGAACGGACGAGAAGCUUGCUUCUCUGAUGUUAGCGGCGGACGGGUGAGUAACACGUGGAUAACCUACCUAUAAGACUGGGAUAACUUCGGGAAACCGUAGCUAAUACCGGAUAAUAUUUUGAACCGCAUGGUUCAAAAGUGAAAGACGGUCUUGCUGUCACUUAUAGAUGGAUCCGCGCUGCAUUAGCUAGUUGGUAAGGUAACGGCUUACCAAGGCAACGAUGCAUAGCCGACCUGAGAGGGGGAUCGGACACACUGGAACCGAGACACGGUCCAGACUCCUAAGGGAGGGAGCAGUAGGGAAUCUUCCGCAAUGGGCGAAAGCCUUACGGAGCAACGCCGCGUGAGGGAUGAAGGGUUUCGGAUCGUAAAAAUCUGUUAUUAGGGAAGAACAUAUGUGUAAGUAACUGUGCACAUCUUGACGGUACCUAAUCAGAAAGCCACGGCUAACUACGUG
rnacentral:rRNA from 1 species